rnacentral:rRNA from 1 species
GACGUAGGGCGCGAGCGUUGUCCGGAUUUAUUGGGCGUAAAGAGCUCGUAGGCGGUUCCGUAAGUCGAGUGUGAAAAAUCUGGGCUCAACCCAGUGGAGCACUCGAUACUGCGGUGACUAGAGUACGGUAGAGGAGUGUGGAAUUCCUGGUGUAGCGGUGAAAUGCGCAGAUAUCAGGAGGAACACCAACGGCGAAGGCAGCACUCUGGGCCGGUACUGACGCUGAGGAGCGAAAGCGUGGGGAGCAAACAGG